GUGCUGGCUUUGGCCGCAUGUAUACUAAAAUUGGAACAAUACAGAGAUUAGCAUGGCCUCUGCAGAAAGAUGACAUACAAAUCUGUGAAGCGUCCCAUAUUUUU